CAUAGGCACUAUGCAAAAUCAAUUACAUGCAUUAUCUCAACCCUUCAAUAUGUUGGUCUCUAUUUUACACAUGUGUAAACAUAGUCAUUUGCUCUAAAUCAUACAGUUGGCAGCCAGGAUUCAAAACAAGUUCUUUUCAUUCCAAAGUUAUUAAUAGUAAUAUUAAAUGGAUUCUCCAUGGUGGCUAAUCAAUGAAUACUUUUGAAUAGUUGGAUAAGUAAAAACAGUGGGUCACAGAAGGAAGAUGUGUUGGUUUGAGUUGAUCUAUUUAGGUAAUUAAAUAUAUCCAUUCAUACUCGGAAGAUAUCUUGUGUUUGAAUGAUGCAAAAUGUGUCUCUCCUAGUGAGGAUAAUCAUAAUGGUAUAAACUAUUACUUAGACAAGUAAAUGAACAUCGUUAAAGAACCAAGUAGUAAAAAAUAUCAGCAUUAUAUUCAUAUUUAUAAAUAAUCCUUUUCCCUAUUCCUGGGUGGCCCUAGACUUUAAUUUGUUUUUAUUAUUCCCAUCAUUCCAUAAACUCUGGCAAUUUUGGAGAGAAGUUUCUUCUGUUUAUUGAAGCCACCUUUGACUGAACAUAUAGGAUUUUAUGCCCUCCUAGGUUGCCCUUUGCUAAUGACCUUUUACCAAUGGACACAAGAGUUUGAAAGCCCAGCUGCCUUGACUCAGAUAACUCUGAGGUGAACCUUCCUCUCUAGAGUUUUCUGUGGGUUCAAGCUGAAGCUACGCUAUGUGGGACAUGGCUUGAUAUCACACCCUUAUUUGACUAUGUUCCUUUCACUGUCCUACUUCCUUCAGCCUUUAAUUGGUUUCACUCAUGAGAUUUCCUUGAUAAAUCAUUUACAUAUGAAGUUUCAUCUCAAGAUCUGCUCCUGGGGAAAUUGACCUUGGAAGAAUGAUACAUUAAAAUCUAGUGAAUAUGCUAAUAUUUCCCUUUUAAAAAUAAAUACUAGUUUCUUUUCAAUAUUUAACAUUGUAUAAGUGCCUUCUUCAUUUCAGGUAUGGAAAAAAAACCAAUGACCAACAUUACAUGUGGUGUCAUGUAAGGAUGCCCUUUGUUAUCAUUUAACUUUUCAUGAUAUUUGAUUUAAUCUACAACCAUUUUUGAAGCAAGCCAUGCAAAAAUGUUUCGCACCGAGUGUGUUACUGAAUAAAACUGCAGCUUACAGGUAUUUGUUGUAUGAAAACUAGAAAUUGCCUUAAAAUUUUUUACUAUUGAAUUUCCAGGAGUUUGAAAUUCUAACUUCUUAAAUUGUAUUCCAAAUAUAGCAAAUGUGCUUUCUUUUUAAAGUGGGUGCAUUUUGAAUUCACAUGGUUCUGAUAAUUCCAUUUCUUCCAGCAUUAUGAGCAAAACAUUUAUAUGUUUCCUUUCUUCAUUUCCCAAGCUGAACAUUUUAUUUCUUCCAGCAGGACCACAGAUAAGUACAUCAUUCCAAAUUUAGUAUAUUGGAAACGUCUCAUGUUUAAAUCAUGGAUAUUUUUAUGGGUUUUGCGCCUUUUGCUAAUUUAUCUCCCAACUUGGCUUCAGGUAACUUUCUGAAUGAUGGCAGUUUCUUUGGCAUCCAGUCUGGUGAUGGUGUUGAAAUCUCAAAAUGGCCAGGUCAUAAAUAUGUCUUGCAUUCUUUAAACAGACUCAAUAGUCCUCAUGAUUUGCAAACUAACUGGCUUCCCUUCCCUCCAGUUAUCUUCCUUAGGUUGUAAGUGAUUGAUAUGACCCGUCUUCACUCUAAUCUUACCUGUGUGACUGACUUCUGCUAACACAGGAUGGAGGUACCUAACCUAGAAAUUCUCCUUGAACUUAUACUGAAAAUAGGCAUGGGAAUUUUUAGUUGAAGAGAAGAUAUAUUUUUGUACUUAACCCUUUGAAAUACAUAAUAUGAAUUACUUCCAUCUGUCUUGACGAUUACAUAUUGAAUCCUGAUUGGAGUAUGUUCUAAAGCCUUAAAGUGGAAGUAGGUGUCCUUCUGUUAAGUGUUAUCUGAUCUUACAGAUAGAAACCCAGAGUGUGGUAAUGCGUAGAAACCAUGAUAAGAUGGAGAAGCAGAUGAAAGAGAAUCGAUACCCAAAAAUGACCAAGGAGAAAUCUAUCAUCAAGUUCUAGGGUCUCUUGGAUGCUGAGCAAGAAAGAUGAAGCUAAAAGGGCAGGAAUUGAAUAUGGGCAGGAAUGAAGGGUAAGAAAUAUAGCAGGCAUAAGACAGGAAGAUUUGGUCUUUACAAGCUGAGAUGACAGGGGCUGCUUUCUGAUGCCUUGGUACUUUGAUCCAUGUUAAAACUGCAGGAUCAGGCAAACAAGUACUAUAUUAAAAUCCUCUAAUAUAAUAAUUAAGAAUGAUUCACCCUUUAUAAUUGAGGGGCACCACAGUAGGCAACAGGGUUGCAAAUAAUAAUGAUAAUCAUCAUCAUUGUGAUAAUAAUAGUAACAAAAAUAGCUCGCACUCCCAUAGUGCUUACUUGUAUAGUGAAUAUUAUGUGCCAGAUACUUUUCAAAGGGCUUUAUGUAUAUUAACGCCUUAAAACAGCUCUGUGUGGUGUUUCCAUUCUUUUGUUUGCUUGCUUUGUUUUUUGUUUUUCAGGUGUUACUCUUCUAAUUCCGGUCUUAUGGAGGAUGGUUCAGAAGAACAAAAAUGUGAAACCCUGUGCUCAGUGUCACUCAGCAGGUAAGAAGCUGAGCCAUGAUUUGAAUCCCAGGAAGUCUGGAUCCAGGGUCUGCAAUAAACUGCCCUCAAAUAACGUGCUAUUAGAUGGGGAGGCAGGGACCAUCCAUAACUAUGUUGUCCUAAAUAUUGAAUUAGUGCUGUACACAAUAGAUGCCCCUGAGGUAUGGAGCUGGCAGACGGUGUUGUUGGUGGCUACUUGUAGAGGUUAAAGAACAUUAAGUAUUCAAAUAUCAAACUCAGACUUACUGAAACAAAGGGGGUUCCUUGGUGAUGUAACUGAAAAACCCAAGAGUUCAUCUUCUGGCACAACUGUCACAGGAUGCAAAUGACGUCAUCAAGAAUAUUCCCUUCUUUAUUCUGGAUUUUCCUUCUUGUGUUGGCUUAAUCCUCAGCAAGGUCCUCUUUACAUGGGCUAGAUUGCCCCUAGCAGCUUCACAAUUACAGUCUGCCUGUCUAUCACUACCAGUAAGGAGGUUGUCCUCCUCCAUGUUUCCAGAAGCUGUUCCAGGAUUGGGCUCAUGGAUUCGGAUUUUCAUGGCUUUAAUGAUGUAUUUGCUUUCUGAACCAAUUACUGUGUAUCGGUCUGGGUUAUUAAUGUAUCCUUGCACCCAAAGGGUGUGCUCCCAAAAUUGUGUGGAUUGAAAGUCUAGGAGAAUGGUUUCCCAGAGAAAAAUCUAAGUGAAUUUGCUAAAGGAGAGAAAAAUGAUGGACUCUGGGAGACGAUAAGGCCAAACAACAGAUCUCAUUUCCCUGCAUUACCACUGACUAACCAACAAGGCAAAUACAUAGAUAACUAAGGAGAAGGGAAAGCUGAAAAUUUUUAUUUUGAUGAGAGAUUAUGGAGAGAGCUUGAAUGCUAGACUAAAAAAUAUGUAGAUUUUAUUUCGUAGGCAAUAGACAGAGAACCACUGCCUGUAUAUCUCCAGAAAGGUAAGUAAAUCCAACACUGAUUUAAGAUUAAUCUAGAAGGGAUGGCUAGCAAAUUAUGGGUUCCAAAACCAUUUACUGCCAAUUUUAUGACUGGCAGUAUCUGGGCCUCUGAGAUGUUUAGAGGAAACUACACAAUUGGGCAGAUUGAUAUAUUGAUAAAUUCAAGUUCAUCAAACUCAAGUGGACACACAGCACUGCUGGAAAAUCCUAUUUUGUUUUCUUUAGUAAUGCUCACUUUUGGAGGUAUUUCACACCUUUUCUUCCAUUGUCUAUAAAGUCUAAUCCUUUCCUCUGCCCUUUAAGUCUUUCUUUUCCUCAUUGCCACCACAUCAAUCCAAAUUCCCUUUCAUUUCCACCUGGACUAUUGCAGUAUCUCAUUAGAGGUUCAUUAGAGACCAAUCUUUGUUUUGUCAUUAUCUCAUCUUGUGGCUCUAGCCCAGAUAUGAACUGCUAGGGGUGAUAUGUUGGAGUCAGUCAUUAAAACAUCAUUUAGUGAAGUUCCAAGGUAAAGGUAGGGAAAGAAACAAAAAACUGGAUGGAAGGAUAUUGAACAGGCUUUUAGGCUGAAGAAAUAAAGCCAUGAGUGAUAAUUAUGAUGCAAAGGAAAAAAAAGGGGGGGGAUAAUUAAUGCAGCAAGGCUCCAACGUGGAAAAAUAUCAUGGUGUUUUAAUAAAGACACUUUUUACUCUGAAACAGGUGAAAGGUAACAAGGACUAGCUGAGUACUGUCAUUGGCAAAUGGGUGAACUUAUUUUUCCUGCUGGCUUCCUACUCUGAACUCAAAUCCAAAGAUGCUAUGGGGUGAGUAGGUACUAGGGAAAUUAAUCCAAUGCUUUGUUUAAUCAUCUUCUAGGCCUUUCUGUGCUUACUGGAAUUUGAAUGUGAUCCACCAAAUGCAAAUCAGUGUAGAAUAUGCAUUGUGUUAUGAAGUUAAGAACUAAGUUUAAAUGCAAAUUGGAACCACAAUGAGAUAUUACUUCAUGUCUAUCAGAAUGGCUGUCAUCAAAAAGAACAUGAAUUGCAAAAUUUGGCAAGGAUGUGGAGAAAAGGGAACCCUUGUACACCGUUGGUAGGAAUGCAAAUUGGUGUAGCCACUGUGGAAAACCAUACGGAGGUUUCUCAAAAGUCUAGAAGUAGAACUAUCAUGUGAUCCAGCAAUUCUACUCCUGGGU
rnacentral:lncRNA from 1 species